rnacentral:rRNA from 1 species
CGAUAACGAACGAGACCUUAACCUGCUAAAUAGCCAGGCCCGCUUCGGCGGGUCGCCGGCUUCUUAGAGGGACUAUCGGCUCAAGCCGAUGGAAGUUUGAGGCAAUAACAGGUCUGUGAUGCCCUUAGAUGUUCUGGGCCGCACGCGCGCUACACUGACGGAGCCAACGAGUUCAUCACCUUGCCCGGAAGGGUUGGGUAAUCUUGUUAAACUCCGUCGUGCUGGGGAUAGGGCAUUGCAAUUAUUGCCCUUCAACGAGGAAUGCCUAGUAAGCGCAUGUCAUCAGCAUGCGUUGAUUACGUCCCUGCCCUUUGUACACACCGCCCGUCGCUACUACCGAUUGAAUGGCUA